CAGAGUUGCAAAACUCCCUAAACCCACUGUGAAUCUUACCUUUUUUCGUUGCUUCGGCAGGCGGUCCCAGGGCGGGACCUUUUGCCUUUGCCGGCGCCUGCCGGAGGAGCACACAAACUCUGUUUUUUGUUAAUUCUGAGCUCUUAUAAAUAAGAAUCA
rnacentral:misc_RNA from 1 species